CCCUAAUGCUGACUAAAGGGAACGAGUUCAGUUUAGGGUUUAAAACCCUAAUGCUGACUGAAAGGAAAAAGUUCAGUUUAGGGUUUAAAACCCUAAUGCUGAUUAAAGGGAAAAGUUCAGUUUAGGGUUUAAAACCCUAAUGCUGACUAAAUGGAAAAAGUGCAGUUUACGGUUUAAAACCCUAAUUCUGACUGAAAGGAAAAGUUCAGUUUAAGGUUUAAAACCCUAACGCUGAUUGCAUGGAAAAGCUCAGUUUAGGUUUUAAAACCCUAAUGCUGGCUGAAUGAAAGAGUUCAGUUUAGGGUUUAAAACCCUAAUGCUGACUAAAGGAAAAAGUUCAGUUUAGGGUUUAAAACCCUAAUGCUGACUAAAGGAAAAAUUCAGUUUAGGGUUUAAAACCCUAAUGCUGAUUGCAUGAAAAAGCUCAGUUUAGGGUUUAAAACCCUAAUGCUGGCUGAAUGGAAAAUUCAGUUUAGGGUUUAAAACCCUAAUGCUGACUAAAGGGAAAAUUCAGUUUAGGGUUUAAAACCCUAAUGCUGACUAAAGGAAAAAUUUAGUUUAGGGUUUAAAACCCUAAUGUUGAUUGCAUGAAAAAGCUCAGUUUAGGGUUUAAAACCCUAAUGCUGGCUAAAUGGAAAAUUCAGUUUAGGGUUUAAAACCCUAAUGCUGACUAAAGGGAAAAUUCAGUUUAGGGUUUAAAACCCUAAUGCUGACUAAAGGAAAAAUUCAGUUUAGGGUUUAAAACCCUAAUGCUGGCUGAAAGGAAAAGCUCAGUUUAGGGUUUAAAACCCUAAUGCUGGCUGAAUGGAAAAAAAAAGUUCAGUUUAGGGUUUAAAACCCUAAUGCUGACUAGCUGGGGACAAAAUUCGAGAACAACAACUGACCUCUUUUUUUUGAAUUUUCUUGUUUUAGUAAAAGACAAAAGGGAGUUUCGUGGAAACUUACCUUUCGAGUGAAUUCCUUAUUGCCAAAAUACUUCUUGUAUCCGUGUACCUUCUUCUUUGGGCGACACCUGCUUCUUGCACGGUUGUCUUGGAUUAGACCUGUUUCAACUUUUCAGACAAAGAACAUUUGUUAGUUCGGAAAUGACGGUCGGUUUGGUGACCUUGAUCGUUCCCGGUUGCUUCGUUGCGUCUUCAUUU
rnacentral:lncRNA from 1 species